UUACAGGAAGAAGAAGAAGAAGAAGAAGAAGAAGAAGAGGGGAAAAAAAAAAAAAAGCUCCAGCAGGAGGAAGAAAAAGAAGAAAAAGAAAAAGAGAAAAAAAAAUUGCUCCUGCAGGAAGAAGAAGAAAAAGAAGAGCCCGCCUGGCGAUGCUCCGGCCGUCGCUUUUUUUUUUCGGCGAAAAAAAAAAAAAGAACGAGAGAACGAAGAGGAGAGAGAAAGAGGAAAGAGAAAAAGUAAUAAGGAUAUUUUGGUCAGUUUGCUGAAAAAACGGACCGAAUUUGCAAAAACGAAAAAGGUGGUCCGGUUUUGCAAAAGCCCAAAAUAAGUGGAUUUUUUAUGCAAAUUGGCCAUUUUUUUUCUAGAAAGAAAAAUUGAGCGAGUAAAAGCGAGGGACCAUGAUUGAGAUAUAGUUGCCAAAAAUAAAGGUAAACUUCAAUAUGCCACCUCUGUGGUUUUGUAUUUUCGCACUUUAGUGUCUUGUGGCUUAAAGUGUAUCAAACUAAUGUCCUGUGGUUUCAUUUUUAUCUUUUCGUCAGCUUUUUCGUUAAUAUUUCGUCAAAUUAUAUACAAAAAAAACUUCAGAUACUCUAUCUAGAUCUAUUAAAUAUUCACUUUAGUAUUUUUUAGUUUUAACUUUGUUACUGAUUUAACGAGAAAAAUUAGUGGAAUCGAUAAUAAAAAGAUAAAAAUAAAAUCGCAUGGUACUAAACUAAAUUGAUACAUUUUAAAGCACAGGGUACUAAAGUGCGAAAGUGUGAAACCACAUGGAUAAUUUUUGAAGUUUUUUCUAAAAAUAAAAAGGUAGGGACUAAAAUAAAAAUCUGGUAGAAGUUGGGGACCAAUGACACAAUUAACCUGAUUUUUAUGGGGUCCCACCGUCCCACGUGGUAGGAGGGACAAGUUGCCGCGGCGCGCCAAAAGCAGUACUGCACACUGACCCAUGUGUCUGGAACCAAAAUAAAUGCCUAGAAAAUAAAAAUUCUAGAAUGCCCCAGUUAUAUUGAUACUGAUAUGAUAUUUUUAAUUAAUUAAAUAAAUUUUUUAAAAUUAAUUUAUCAUAUUAUGAUUAUAAAAAAAAAUUUUAUUGUAUAUUUUUUUUUAAAGGAGAGGAUUGUCUUAUUAUUAUUAUUUUUUUUGAGAGAUAGGUAGCACGCUACCCGCUCCGUUUAUUUCAUUUAGAAAUAAACUUAGCAGGAAAUGUGAAUCAACGAGGAUUCGAACUUGGGACCUCGGGUACCAACCACUAAGCCCUUUGCCACUUGCUUUAGGGAUAGUCGGUGAUUGGCUUGUUAUUACUGAUGUGGUAUAAGUGUGAUACAGUAAACUUCCCUUUCAGUCACUCUCUCUCUCUCUCUCUCUCUCUCUCUCUCUCUCUCUAUAUAUAUAUAUAUAUAUAUAUAUAUAUAGUCCGGCUGAGAUGCUAUGAAUAGCACGAAGCACUUGAUGCUACCAAAUUUUUCGCCGUUAGAUCUACCCUUUUGAUCAUUUUCAUCCGUUAGAUCAUACUAUUCAACCAACCAACCACCCACUCAACCCUAAGGGGCCCACAUCAUCCUAACCGCAUAUCUCUUAAUCCAAUGGCCAAAAACUUGGUAGCACCAAUGACUUGGUGCUAUUAAUAGUAUAUUAGCCUAGUUCUAUAUAUAUAUAUAUAUAUAUAUAUAUAUAUAUAUAUAUAUAUAUAUAUAUAUAUAUAGAGUCCGGCUGGGGUACUAUCGAUAGCACCAGAGAUUUGGUGCUAUUGAGCUUUCCACCAUUAGAUUUAACCCUUUGAUUAAUUUUAUCCGUUAGAUUAUACUAUUCAACCAACCGCUCGCUCAAUCCUAGGGUACCCACAUCAUCCUAACCACACAUUUUUUAAUCCAAGAGUAGAAAACUUAAUAGCACCAAAUCAUUGGUGCUAUUAAUAGUAUUCUAGCCUAGUUCUAUAUAUAUAUAUAGAGUCCAGCUAUGGUGCUUGUAACUGUAAGUUUUUUACCGUUAGAUCUACUUCUCGAAUUAUUUUCAACUAUUAGAUUAUACUAUUCAACCAACCACCCACUCAACCUUAGGGGACCCACAUCAUCCUAACUACAUAUUUCUUAAUCCAAUAGCUAAAAAUCUAAAAGUAUAAAUAACUUAGUAUUUUUAAAAGUAUAGGAGCUCAAUUAUAUAUAUAUAUAUAUAUAUAUAUAUAUAUAUAUAUAUAUAUGAGUCUGGCCAUUAUAUUAUUGAUAGUACCAAGUCUUUGGCACUAUUGAGUUUUCUAUCGUUAGAUCUACCCUUUGAUCAUUUCCACCCGUUAGAUUAUACUAUUAAACCAACCAACCACUCAACCCUAGGGGACCACUAUUAUCCGAACCGCACAUCCUUUCAUCCAACGGCCAAAAACUCAAUAGUAUCAAUAGCUUGGUACUAUUGAUAGUAUAGUAACAUAAUUAUAUAUAUAUAUGUAUAUAUAUAUAUAUGUAUGUAUAUAUAUAUAUAUAUGUAUGUAUAUAUAUAUAUAUGUAUGUAUAUAUAUAUAUAUGUAUAUAUAUAUAUAUAU
rnacentral:lncRNA from 1 species